rnacentral:rRNA from 1 species
UGAGGAACAUGACCUUCGGCGGGGGAUAGCCGGCCCAACGGCCGGGUAAUACCGCGUACGACCACAUGGGGACAUCCCUGAGUGGUGAAAGCAGCAAUGCGCCGNUGGAGUGCCUCGCGGCCUAUCAGCUAGUUGGUGAGGUAACGGCUCACCAAGGCGACGACGGGCAGCUGGUCUGAGAGGAUGGCCAGCCACAUUGGAACUGAGACACGGUCCAGAUCCUACGGG